rnacentral:ribozyme from 13 species
UGUCCAAAUAUAUAUUUGCACUAAGCUGACAUGAUGCACAAAAGAAGGUCUCGAAUGCAGUGGUCAUCUGCGAUCGAUUCCUGUGAUUUUUCAUUUUUUUUUGUCUUUUUUCGUUCUCUUCUUGUGUCAAACAAGAAUGAGAGUGGUUU